UCCCUGGUGGUCCAGUGGGUAAGACUCUGUGCUCACAAAGCAGGGGGUCCGGGUUCGAUCCCCGGUCAGGGAA